rnacentral:lncRNA from 1 species
AACAAUGUUGUUUGAGAAUUUGAGAUUAAAUGCCCAGCAUUCUUGAAGUGUAGAUGGUUCUAGUUAUCUGAUAUGGCUUAGUUCGACUACCCUGGCCAAUAAUGAACUCAUCAAUUUGGGAGAUUAAUUUUAGUACUUUACUGUUGAACACUACUACAACUCAAAUGUAAAAAUGCCUUCUUCAUAAUCUCGAGAUCUUUCCUAACAGUAACAGCUCGUUCCUGCUCCAUGUUGUGGCUUGUGUGUGAUUCUAGAAAAUAAUAAGAUGGUGACCUACAUACACACCCAAAAAUUACAUGUAUAUCACUGGAUUGGGCUAGGGCAACCCAAAUGUCUGGGGCCAGCCCUGAUAUCACACAUUCACACCAGAGCAAGAAGAAGCAGGAGGCCAUACUAAAACAAAUUUCAUUCAUUCUACAGAAUGAGAGAGAAGAGAUUGAGAGAGAGAGUCUUACAUGUGAAUUCGUCGUCUUUAGAGUUUAAUGAGAGAGAGACUUGUGGUACUACUGGUGAAGAACAGAAGAAGAAAACAGAUUAGGCCCAACAAGAAACCCUAACCCGUUGAUGGAGGAAUUACGGCGACUUGUCU